GAGACGUCAGGCCGGACCGGAGAUUAGCAGGUGCUUUAAGUGAAUUAGAGAGCGGCAGAGCUGGGGAGACGUGGGUGGAGCGGCGGCCAAGCGAGGAGGAGGAGGAGGCACAGAGCCUGGCAGCGAAGCCCCUUGGCCAUGCUGCAAAUCGUGGCCCUGCACGGCCCCUCGCCCUGGGGUUCCGCCUAGUCGGGGGAAAGCACCCUGCUCACCAUCUCCAGGCAAAAUAUGAAGCAAGAGCCAGCCAGCAUACCCACAGUGAAUUCCCUGCCUCAUAGUAUGUCCACUAAGACUGAUAGUUACAUUCUAGGAACCUCAUCAGAUGCAGCAAGAGAAGCAUCUUCUUCCAUGGCUACUUCCAGCGGAGCUCUGUGGCGCUCCGUGCUGGCAAUAUUGCGGCAGCAGAUCUCAGACACCGCGUGUGCACACAACUCCUAAUUGAACAAGGGAACAGAAAUUGAAGAGGAAGCAGGGACAGACGGGAAAAUGUAAUGAGAAGAAUACUACGGCCCACAGUGGUAGGGAGCAGAGCGUGACGGUUCCCUCUGAUGCCCAGUGAUUUCUCUUUUGUCCCCUGCUUUACCCCUAACCGUCUAAUAAAGUCCUAGGGCAAUGUCAAAAAACCA